rnacentral:rRNA from 1 species
GACGAACGCUGGCGGCGUGCUUAACACAUGCAAGUCGAACGGAAAGGCCCUGCUUUUGUGGGGUGCUCGAGUGGCGAACGGGUGAGUAACACGUGAGUAACCUGCCCUUGACUUUGGGAUAACUUCAGGAAACUGGGGCUAAUACCGGAUAGGAGCUCCUGCUGCAUGGUGGGGGUUGGAAAGUUUCGGCGGUUGGGGAUGGACUCGCGGCUUAUCAGCUUGUUGGUGGGGUAGUGGCUUACCAAGGCUUUGACGGGUAGCCGGCCUGGGAGGGUGACCGGCCACAUUGGGACUGAGAUACGGCCCAGACUCCUAGGGGAGGCAGCAGUGGGGAAUAUUGCACAAUGGGCGGAAGCCUGAUGCAGCAACGCCGCGUGCGGGAUGACGGCCUUCGGGUUGUAAACCGCUUUCGCCUGUGACGAAGCGUGAGUGACGGUAAUGGGUAAAGAAGCACCGGCUGACUACGUG